UUCAGCCCAUGGGUUGCAAAGAUCGGGCCGAAAAGCUCAUUUGCACAAAUGAGUCAGAAUUUUUCAACUCAGUCCAUUUUUAGAGCCAAAUGGGCUGGUCUAUAUGUCCUGAUCUAUUUUAACAGCUCUAGUUAGCCUCCAUUCUCUAUCCAUCGUGGUAGAAUGGGAUGGAUUGAUGUGAUUUACAUGGGAGGGGCCAUCCAUCAGAUGCCGCAUGGGCAUCCGGUAGUGCAUUGGAUGGGGAAAACAGCAAUGGAGCAAGGAGUAAAGGGUCGUACUAGUCAUGUUUCGCCUUGAGACCCAUCGAGAUGUGAUCAUCCAAGUUCAAAAGUGCCCGAGAUGCACUACUCUUGGGACUCAAAAA
rnacentral:lncRNA from 1 species